rnacentral:lncRNA from 1 species
UUCAAUGCAGGUGUAGAGUGGGCAGCAUUCCAAGGUGGGUGAUUGAAAGAUUCAGGUCCUUUACAUUUUAUAGCUCCACUAUCACUCAGAGCCUUGGGAUCUACUCAGAGGGCGGACAAGGCACACCUGCUCCUUAAUCACUUCAGCCUUUUCUGAUACCCUUUGUAGAGCUGCUUAAACGGCCCCACCUGGGUGCAGAUACCCUUUGUAGAGCUGCUUAAACGGCCCCACCUGGGUGCAGAUACCCUUUGUAGAGCUGCUUAAACGGCCCCACCUGGGUGCAAGGCUGGGCUCCAGUGCUGGGAAAUGUAAAUUCUGCCUGGAAACCCACUUUCCAGCAACAGCGCUACCCUUUGGAAAGGGAUUGUGCCUGUCUCUGGACCAAUCAACAGUGCCAGGAGGAAGAGAUUAUAGGAAACGUCCUCUGAUUCUCAGAUAAAUGAAGAGCACCUUUCUCUGAAGCAAUCUAUCACUCACAACAAUUUAGUGGAUUAUAUCUUAAUAAACCAAAAUGUACAUUUACAAAUAAUGUAUUUUUCUUCCUGACUGAUUCCUCCAGAAUUUGGAAACUCUGAUUGAGUAUCUUAAUUUCAUGGCAAUUUCUCUGUUAGCAAUUAUCCCAACAGAUCCAAUGCUGUACUCAAAACACCAACCAGGCAUGAACACCUGUCAGGUCCCAGCCCAGCCUGCCCAAGCCUUUGCUCCCCACUCUGCCCUAUCCCUUCCAAAAAUGGAUCAAGAAAUUCUACUUUGAUGGUGCUAGCAACUUUAGCCAAAGCUGAAAUUAUUUGAAUAUCCUGGCUAUUCCUUGUGUAAAUAUAUAUAGACUGUUAUGAAAAUGAUUCAUGAACUUUUCAAUUCCAUUGUCAGAAUAUUUCCUCAUGUUUAAAGAUUAUGUGACUAGAAUGUUCAAUGAUAAUAUAAUAAAUGUGUAUGAAUUGC